CCCUCUCUAGGUCGUCCAAAUCAUUAAAUAGCUCGAAAUAAUUAUAGAAAACACAGCCCAAGCCCACUCGUCGGUGUUCAACGCCCCAACUUAGGGCGCCCAGACGUGACUGCAAGAGCUCUGCACUCAGCGCCCCUAGAAGGGCGCCCAGGCGUCACCUACGAUACUGAAAUGGUGCUCAACGGUACUAGAAGGGCGCUCAAGCGUGAGUGCGAGACUGCUGAGCUGAGGGCCUCCAAAAGGGCACUCAGGCGCCACCUACGAUUCCUCUCUCUGAUACUUUUCCAGCUUUUCCUGAGUUCCAACUCCUUGCUA
rnacentral:lncRNA from 1 species